rnacentral:misc_RNA from 1 species
AGACGGUGAACCUCUGAAAACCACUGGCCCGUCACACUGUUUCUCUACCCGAACAACUAAAGCCAACGUGAACUUUUGCGGACCUUGCGUCCGCU